UACGGAGGGUGCAAACGUUGUUCGGAAUUACUGGGCGUAAAGCGUGUGUAGGCGGCCACGUAAGUCGGAUGUGAAAGCCCUGGGCUCAACCCAGGAAGUGCACUCGAUACUGCGUGGCUCGAGUACUGGAGAGGUUGGUGGAAUUCUCGGUGUAGAGGUGAAAUUCGUAGAUAUCGAGAGGAACACCGGUGGCGAAGGCGGCCAACUGGACAGAUACUGACGCUGAGACACGAAAGCGUGGGGAGCAAACAGG
rnacentral:rRNA from 1 species